UGGGGAAUCUUAGACAAUGGGGGAAACCCUGAUCUAGCCAUGCCGCGUGAGUGAUGAAGGCCCUAGGGUCGUAAAGCUCUUUCGCCAGGGAUGAUAAUGACAGUACCUGGUAAAGAAACCCCGGCUAACUCCGUGCCAGCAGCCGCGGUAAUACGGAGGGGGUUAGCGUUGUUCGGAAUUACUGGGCGUAAAGCGCGCGUAGGCGGACUAUUAAGUCAGGGGUGAAAUCCCGGGGCUCAACCCCGGAACUGCCUUUGAUACUGGUAGUCUAGAGUUCGAGAGAGGUGAGUGGAAUUCCGAGUGUAGAGGUGAAAUUCGUAGAUAUUCGGAGGAACACCAGUGGCGAAGGCGGCUCACUGGCUCGAUACUGACGCUGAGGUGCGAAAGUGUGGGGAGCAAACAGGAUUAGAUACCCCCGUAGUCC
rnacentral:rRNA from 1 species